GACGAACGCUGGCGGCGUGCUUAACACAUGCAAGUCGAACGAAGAGCGAUGGAAGCUUGCUUCUAUCAAUCUUAGUGGCGAACGGGUGAGUAACGCGUAAUCAACCUGCCCUUCAGAGGGGGACAACAGUUGGAAACGACUGCUAAUACCGCAUACGAUCUGACCUCGGCAUCGAGGAUGGAUGAAAGGUGGCCUCUAUUUAUAAGCUAUCACUGAAGGAGGGGAUUGCGUCUGAUUAGCUAGUUGGAGGGGUAACGGCCCACCAAGGCGAUGAUCAGUAGCCGGUCUGAGAGGAUGAACGGCCACAUUGGGACUGAGACACGGCCCAGACUCCUACGGGAGGCAGCAGUGGGGAAUCUUCCGCAAUGGACGAAAGUCUGACGGAGCAACGCCGCGUGAGUGAUGACGGCCUUCGGGUUGUAAAGCUCUGUUAAUCGGGACGAAAGGCCUUCUUGCGAAUAGUUAGAAGGAUGACGGUA
rnacentral:rRNA from 1 species